UAUGUAGGGUGCGAGCGUUGUCCGGAAUUAUUGGGCGUAAAGGGCUCGUAGGCGGUCUGUCGCGUCGGGAGUGAAAACCAGGUGCUUAACACCUGGCUUGCUUUCGAUACGGGCAGACUAGAGGUAUUCAGGGGAGAACGGAAUUCCUGGUGUAGCGGUGAAAUGCGCAGAUAUCAGGAGGAACACCGGUGGCGAAGGCGGUUCUCUGGGAAUAUCCUGACGCUGAGGAGCGAAAGUGUGGGGAGCGAACAGG
rnacentral:rRNA from 1 species